CGUGCGCGUAGUUUCGACGAGUUCGAGCAGGUAAACGAAGUAGAAAGAAACACCCAACAGCUAGAGUGUUCUUUGUUUAACUAGUUUAUAACUGCGCAGAGCUACGUCAUCGUAACCGCCUCGCUCACACAUUACAGGUGGAAGUGGUGCCGUAAACAAGCUUUCUUGCAAGCGUUCCAAGCCGCACGGCGCUGUAGUUCGUGCUAAAAGCAUCGCAACACUUCGCAAAAAGGCAGCAUUGAUGUAAACUCAAUGCCAUCUGCCCAUUGCCAUGUCUGUGCUUGAUAUCAACGAACGACGAGCAUACCUGCAGAGCCCUUACUUCAAAAAGCACGAAUACGGUGAUUUCAGCCCGUUUUACAUCACUGUCACCGUCUGCACAAUCAUCGCAGCAAUUAUAAUCAUCAUUAAUAUUGUUGGGUGUUGUUCAAAAUACUCCACUUACUGGAACGACCGCCAUACUGGUAACAGGUGGAUAGUUUCGCUUUGGACAGCAACACCACAUCUUCAGCCAUCUUUGGAUUACUCUGAA